GGACAGGUGGCCGAGUGGUUAAAGGCAGCAGACUGUAAAUCUGCCGGGCUUCGCCCUACAAUGGUUCGAAUCCAUUCCUGUCCACCA
rnacentral:tRNA from 10 species